UUGCUUUUUAAUACUGGCUUUCACCCUCCCCUAGCUUUUGUUUGUGUUUUUGCUUUGCCCCUUCUCUUUCUUCAGUUCUUCUUCCUUUUCACUCUCCUCUCUCUAAAUGCUAAAUUGAACCAAAGCUUGCAACUUGGUAAAGACAAAAUCACUUGCAAAAAUGAGGGGUCCUUUGGGUGCAAUAAUAGGAAGGUACCCAUUAAGUGAGUGUUCGAGGAAACCGACGAAACCAAUUGCAGUACACAUGAAAACCUUGGAGAAUUCUAAAAUACAAAUAAAAAAUCAGAAAAAUAAGGAUCCACCACUCAGAGAUUUGAAUUGAAGUGGAAGGGAGGAAGGAGAACUGGGAUUCAACGCUUCACGAGGUUGUAGAUCUGGUGGAAUUUGCGUAGAUUUGGUAUGUUCUUAGAUGUGGUUUAAUGUUGAUGACUCAAAUGGUUUCCCUGAAUUAGGGAAGAAUUACAGCUAUAUAAUAAUUGCUCGGCUCUUGCUGUAUGGAAGAGUGAGUUUUUAAUUUCUGAAAUUGGAGGCUCUAUGCCUUGGAUUAGGAGGAGACAUCUCUAUAGCUUGGAGUUGAAGCUCAUGAUCAUGAUCUUACAACCUCCUAUUGAUUUGAUUGAAACAAAUAUAUAAUUCUAUAUUAUCUUAGGUUUUUUGGUGUGUUAUCAUGAUGCAUGUGUGCCCCAGAUGAUAAAUCCUCUUUUGACAUGCCUCUUCCCAUUGUCUGCAGGAUUAUUUUUAGUGCUCAUAGUUAUGCAUUUUCUGAUCAUGUUCAUUAGGACAUUUAUUGGUUGUAGGUUAUGUGUUCGAUCAAAUGUCAAGAUGAUAUUUUUGGGUAUGUUUUCUUAUUUCUUAUUUUAAUUUUAAAUUUGUGGCACUUUUAAAAUUAUUUAUUUUUCACAUGAGAUAUAUUUUCAUUCCAGCAUUUUAAUAGAUUUGUAUUUAGAAUUGUAUAUUUAUAUAUGUGUGUGUGUGUGUGUGUGUGUGUGUGUGUGUGUGUGUGUGUGUGUGUGUGUGUGUGUGUGUGUGUGUGUGUGUGUGUGUGUGUGUGUGUGUGUGUGUGUGUGUGUGUGUGUGUUUGGUAUGUUUAAAAGGAUAGCAGGGAAGAUCUCCCCAAAUGACACCCGAAAAUGCAGAACAAUCCAAAGAGGAGAAGAAGAAGGGAUCGAAUAAAAGUGCAAAAGCAUAAUCACCGGAAACUAUAACCAUCAAACCAUGUGGCACAACCAUGCAUAAGAUUCUAAAAAACUCACAGCCGAAAAUGCAGAACAAUCCAAAGAGGAGAAGAAGAAGUGAUCGAAUAAAAGUGCAAAAGCAUAAUACCCGGAAACGUGGCACAACAAAGGAUUAUUAUUAUUAUUAUUAUUAUUAUUAUUAUUAUUAUUAUUAUUAUUAUUAUUAUUAUUAUGUAGGCUGCCAAGGCGUAGAUCAAACCACAGGAAAUGAGGAAGGCAGAGAGGAAGUUCAGAGGGGUGCUGCAAAUGGUGCAUUUUGGUUCGUUUUUCUUGCGACCCAUUUGAGGAUUUGGAAAGAAGAAGAAUAAGGACACCACCCAGAAAAUGGAAUCGUGUAAUGAGUAUCAUCUCAGGUAGCUCAAGGCAAAAAUAACAAAUACGAGUUAAAUGUGGUCAUGGUAAGCAGGGUGCCUGGCAUGGAACUCAUAUUUCUGAUAUUGUUCAGAGUUUUACGGGACAGUCUAUGAGGGAUUUAUGAGGCCUUUGAAUUGAGAGAUGGGGCAGUUUCUUGCCAUUCAUGACGUUUCUUAUCUCAACUGGAGCAGUUUACCACAAGGCUUUAUUUUCGGGUCAACAUCCUCAGCAUAUCAGUAUGAAGGUGUUGCAAGGGAAGGUGAAAAAAGACCAAGUAUAUGGGAUACUUUCGCUCAUAAAUACCCAGAGUGUAACUCAGUUGACAACAAAGAGUGAACUUGGGGGAGGGGGAGGACCGGAGUUUGAUUUUCGCAUAAUACACAUUCAUGGAGAAGAAGAGAGAAUGUGUACUAGUCCCCAUAGGAACUCAACUAAAGAGCAAAUUUGAGAAGAGUAUCAUCUCAGGUAACUCAAGGCAAAAAUAGCAAAUACGAGUUAAAUGAGUGUGUAUGCAGGCAUCUCAAAAGGGUUUAAUAGGGAUUACCUUGAAUUCUGACUGGUAUGUGCUGGUUUCUAAAGAGAAAUGUUAUCGAGACGCUGCAUGUAGGGGCCUUGACUUCAUGUUUGGAUGGUAUAUGGGCCCACUCAUAAAAGGUGAGUAUUCAAAAACCAUGCGAUCUAUGUUGGGAAACCGGCUACCAGAGUUCUCCAAAGAAGAAGCCAGGCAACUUAAAGGAUCAUUACUGCAACACAAUAUCACUACAAGGAAAAUGACUUAUACCUACAGUCAAAAUCUGUCACUAGAAGUCCAAAAUCCGUAGGUAGAUGUAUAAAGGACUUUGUCAUACAGACGUUUUUUGCGUCAACUUUGAGGGGGUAUACAGUGACAACUAAUAGUCUGUCACUAUAGGCUUUACCUACGGAUAUAUUUUUACCUACAGUCAAAUUUAACUAUCACUAUAGGUAACACCUACUAUUUUAAAUGUGUAGGUAAAAGAUAUUAAUGUAUACCUAUAAUCUCUAACUGUAGGUAAAAGUCAAUUUACUUGUACCUAUGGUCUUCUGUAGGUAAAUGUCAUAUAAUAAUAAAACUAGUUCCUAAUUACAUUA